rnacentral:rRNA from 1 species
UGGCGGACGGGUGAGUAAUGUCUGGGGAAACUGCCUGAUGGAGGGGGAUAACUACUGGAAACGGUAGCUAAUACCGCAUAACGUCGCAAGACCAAAGAGGGGACCUUCGGGCCUCUUGCCAUCGGAUGUGCCCAGAUGGGAUUAGCUAGUAGGUGGGGUAAAGGCUCACCUAGGCGACGAUCCCUAGCUGGUCUGAGAGGAUGACCAGCCACACUGGAACUGAGACACGGUCCAG